AGAAAGCAGCUGUGUCAAUACCGCCUGCUCUGUGGCUACAGGCAUUGCACUUCCCACCCACCCGCAAGGCCAGGUGUUACCACUCCCAGGAGCAGCCCUUACCCAGUGAGGGAUGGAAGUUGGUGGAUAAACAUCCAGAGAGACACAAAGAUCCCAUCAAACGCAUUCCCCUUCCUGUGUCAGGAUCAAGAGAGUCUACAGUCAUGUCAGUGUGUACUCCUGCCAAAACUCCCACCAGCAAAUAAAUUUAAGAGCUCAGCCUCAGUCUACUUAACAACAUCAUGUUGCAACCAGUGAAGUCAUUCAGAAAUGCAUAAUUCAAUAACAACUUAGCACCAGAUGAAGUUUUAUGAUCUGCAACACUCUGUCUGCCCCGGCUCCCCUUUAUCCCCCAAAACCUCAACAUUUUCAAGAUUACUCUUUGCUGGGCCACUUCCCAAAAUUAAGAGCAGAGUAAUCAUUCUAGAAUAGCCUUCCUUUCCUUGCCUGCUAAUCAGGAGUCCUUAGAAAGCAUGAAUCAAGAGUCUGUCACCUCCAAAGAAGGGGCUAGGAGAAGCUGGAUUCUAAAGCUUUGGAAUCAAAGGCCAUGCUUCAGGAGCACCUUGUUCCAGGGCAGCAUGGGUUCACAAAUGGGCACCCUUCACUCCCCUCCCCCACCUCAGCCAAGCAGCCCUGCUAUGAAGAAUGGGGUGAAAGAAACUCUUGCCUUAUCCAGUUUGGAUCUUAAGAGUUCCAGAGACAACCACGUCUGUACACCCGCAGGAUGGUGAGAGCUGUUAUUAUUACUGUCAUGCAGCAAGGACAAAUAACAUUCUCAUAAUGUUCACUGCAUGCCUGGCUCUAUUUCGGGAUUUACAUACAAAUUCAUUUAUCCCUCAUAUCACACCGGAAAGUAAGUACUAUUCUAGUAUGCAUUUAUAGAUGAGGAAACUAAAGGAGUGUGCUAGUAUUCAGCUCUGGUCUUUUUGCUUCAAGCCCACCCUGUUACAUCGGUUAUGUAAUUCUGGAGCUGGGACCCUACUAACAACAUCUCUAAACUACCUUGCCAGCUGGCUUUGGUCCAGUCCUAGUGAUGGGAGACUUCAGAUGGAGACUGGGAUGCUGGAAGAAGGAAGAAGAUGCUCUCUUUCUGCUUCAAGGUAGAAGGUCCUUGUAGCAUCAUUCCAGCAACAGGGGCUGCUACGCUCCAGGCCUUCAUCUUUUCUGGUCUUUGUAGCACCCAUGGAACAGUAUCUUUUUGAAGGAACUAAUAGAACCUAGGCCAUGCCUCUUACAGCUGCAGUACAAUCUGUGGGGUCUCCCUCCUCAGAGGUCUCAGAAUCAGCCCUGCUGUGCUCCUCCUACAGACUUCUAGGCACCAUAACCCCACCUAUUCCAUUUUGUUACCCCAGCCCCAGGUAUGGUCACCACUUCCUGCCAUUUUUGGCUACCUUAGCAUCCCAUUUUUGCACUGACAGCCUUUCAUCACUGUGUAAUGGAUUCCCUUCAAUAAAAACCCUCUGUUUGAAAUA